rnacentral:rRNA from 1 species
GACGAACGCUGGCGGUGUGCUUAACACAUGCAAGUGGUGCGACGAACCAGAGCUUGCUCUGGGGCAAAGCCGCGAACGGGUGAGUAACACGUGGGUAAUCUACCCCGAUGACCGGGACAACCCGAGGAAACUCGGGCUAAUACCGGAUGUGGUACGGAGACAUAAGUCUCUUUACUAAAGGUAGCUUCGGCUUCCGCAUUGGGAGGGCCCGCGGCCCAUUAGCUAGUUGGUGGGGUCAAGGCCUACCAAGGCAACGAUGGGUAGCUGGUCUGAGAGGACGAUCAGCCACACUGGGACUGAGACACGGCCCAGACUCCUACGGAGGCAGCAGUGGGGAAUC